rnacentral:rRNA from 1 species
AGCGAACGCUGGCGGCAGGCUUAACACAUGCAAGUCGAGCGCCCCGCGAGGGGAGCGGCCGUCGGGAGAGUAACACGUGGGAACAUACCGUUUGGUGCGGAACAACUGAGGGAAACUUCAGCUAAUACCGGAGAAGCCCUUACGGGGAAAGCUUUAUCGCCGAAAGGUUGGCCCGCGGCUGAUUAGCUAGUUGGUGAGGUAACGGCCCACCAAGGCGACGAGCAGUAGCGGGUCUGAGAGGAUGCUCAGCCUCACUGGGACUGCGACACGGCCCAGACUCCCGCGGGAGGCAGCAGUGGGGCGUAUCGGACCCGGGGGGCAACCCUGAGCCAUCCGGUCCGCGUGAGUGAUGAAGGCCUUAGGGUUGUAAAGCUCUUUUGCGCGGGAAGAUAUUGCCGGUACCGGGAGGAUAAGCCCCGGCUACUUCGUG